GACACUUUUGGUUGAGUGGUUAAGGCAUGAGCCUAGAAAGCUAAUGGGGUUUCCCCACACAGGUUCAAAUCCUGCAAGUGACA